ensembl:lncRNA
CACCCGCCAUGCCGCCCGCGCUCACCGCGCCGCGCCCGGAAGUGACGCACGCAGGCUCCGCGGGCCCGCCCCCGACAGGCCCCGCCCUGCGAGCGCCGAGCCCUCCCCUCCCCCGGAAGUGCAGCCUGCGGGACUUCCGGCUCCCGCUGCGGCCUCGGGGCUCUGUGCUGUGGGGUUCCGCGCGCCCGGGCAGCGAGGGCUGGGCGCCAUGUUUGCGAAAAGGGGCUGCAGCACCAACCCCUGGGCCUCUCGGCACCUGGCCCUCAGGCGAGGGGAGUCUGACUUCUCCAGAAGGGCGUCCCCGCGCCCUCCUGAGGGAGACUCUGCAGCUCUGUGGUUGAGGAACCUCAGAAACAGGGUUUCUGGCCCCUUGGCCCUGGGUUCCUGGACCUUGAAGGAAGCACGGGGAGCUGAGAGAAAAGCAGGGCUGGACGUCACUUUAAGCGCCGAAAACAUCCCCGUCAGGACCCUUGACGUAGCGCGCAAGAGACCUCAGUGUGGGGCCCUCUGGGUUCACCCAAAUGCCUGUUGACUGAAAAAAAACACACGACCUAAAAGUCGGGAGUUAGGUUUUAUUCCUUGGACAAAACUGAGGACUUAAGCCCAGGACGCAGCAUCUCGGAUAGCUGAGGGACUGCCCCGAAGAGGCUUGUGGGAUCUUCGCUUCCUGACCAGGGAUAGAAGCCACAGCCCCUGUGUUGGAAGCCUCCUGACUGCAGGCACUCAGGCAGCUGAAACCUGGACCAGCAAGACUUCCAGGUAUCGCAGUCUUGGAACAGGAACAAAACCCUGGGACUCCCUGAAAUUCUGACUUUUCUUGAGGGAAACAAACACCAUCGACACCGAGCCCAGUUUAUAAGGGUCUGGGGAGUGUUUCACCGGAAAGGGCGUAAAUCCUCUUCCCCAGGCCGGGAGUGGAAGCAGCACCUGCUCGUGGAGGCCGGUGCCAUCUCUCCGGCCAGGUGCCCGCGCGGUGCCAUCUCCGGCCAGGUGCCCGCGCAUGGCCUGGCGGUGCCCCCGGCUGUGGAGCUUUAUGUCAGCAGGAGUAUUUUUAUUUAAUGUCAUAUGGUAAACACAAAGAAAAUCCUCUGUUUUUGCACCUAAUUUCAGCAGGGCACAGAAUUAAGAGUUUAGCUGGUUGCCUUGUUUUCUGCUGAACUUAGGCUUCAGUAUUUUUGUUCCUGGAGCGAAGCUUCCUGCCCUCAUUAGAGAGAUUGAAAACUUCCUUGUACUCAUAUCUUACACUAUUUGUUUAGUUCUUUAAUAAAUGAAACCCUAAUCCAAGUGCAAUUUCCAAAA